rnacentral:misc_RNA from 1 species
UCACUUUCACAAGCAGUAAAUCACUUGAGAUAGUAGAUUUUAACUCCAACAAUCUCUCCAAUUUAUUUCUACUUUCUAUUCUUUUUACUUUGAGUAAAAAAAAAAGAAUGAAGUAACUGAUUGCUGUAAAAUCAACUGGUUUCUAAUAUGCCUGAAAAUUGACUAAUUUGUCAUGCAAUGCUUUGUAGAGCAUAUAGUUCAGCUUCUAGGAGACUGUCAUCUUAUG